GUACUAACCAGUUCUGGAGGUGUUGUGGUCCCGAUUGUCUUGCCGGGGGGCCCCGAGCCGAGUCACCAUCAGAAUGUUGGGCAAAGACCGGAUUGAAAUCUUCACUUCACGAAUGGCACAGACCAUCAUGAAGGCUCGAUUAAAACGAGCACAGACUGGUCGAAACCUCCUGAAGAAAAAGUCUGAUGCCUUAACUCUUCGAUUUCGACAGAUCCUGAAGAAGAUAAUAGAGACUAAGAUGGUGAUGGGUGAAGUGAUGAGAGAAGCUGCCUUCUCAUUAGCUGAGGCCAAAUUCACAGCAGGGGACUUCAGUACCACAGUCAUCCAAAAUGUAAAUAAAGCCCAAGUGAAGAUCAGAGCAAAGAAAGACAAUGUUGCAGGUGUCACCUUGCCCGUGUUCGAACACUACCACGAAGGAACUGACAGCUAUGAGCUGACUGGUUUAGCCAGAGGUGGGGAGCAGCUGGCUAAACUAAAGCGGAAUUAUGCCAAAGCAGUGGAACUACUGGUGGAACUGGCUUCCCUGCAGACUUCCUUUGUUACUCUGGAUGAAGCCAUUAAAAUAACCAACAGGCGUGUAAAUGCCAUUGAGCAUGUCAUCAUUCCCCGGAUUGAACGCACCCUUGCCUAUAUAUAUCAUCACAGAGCUGGACGAGAGAGAGCGAGAAGAAUUCUAUAGGUUAAAGAAAAUACAGGAGAAGAAAAAGAUUAUCAAGGAAAAAUUUGAGAAGGACUUGGA